GAUGAACGCUGGCGGCGUGCCUAAUACAUGCAAGUAGAACGCUGAAGGAAGGAGCUUGCUCUUUCCGGAUGAGUUGCGAACGGGUGAGUAACGCGUAGGUAACCUGCCUGGUAGCGGGGGAUAACUAUUGGAAACGAUAGCUAAUACCGCAUAACAGUAGAUGUUGCAUGAUAUCUACUUAAAAGGUGCAAUUGCACCACUACCAGAUGGACCUGCGUUGUAUUAGCUAGUUGGUGAGGUAACGGCUCACCAAGGCGACGAUACAUAGCCGACCUGAGAGGGUGAUCGGCCACACUGGGACUGAGACACGGCCCAGACUCCUACGGGAGGCAGCAGUAGGGAAUCUUCGGCAAUGGACGGAAGUCUGACCGAGCAACGCCGCGUGAGUGAAGAAGGUUUUCGGAUCGUAAAGAUCUGUUGUAAGAGAAGAACGAGUGUGAGAGUGGAAAGUUCACACUGUGACGGUAUCUUACCAGAAAGGGACGGCUAACUACGUG
rnacentral:rRNA from 1 species